GUGCAGCAGGCGCGAAUCUUGGGCAAUGCCCGCAAGGGUGACCCAGCGACGCCACGUGGGGGAUGAAGCCCGAAAGGGUGUAAACCCCUUUUGGUGGGGAGCAAGGGUGGUUCUUUUGAGCCACCUUGAGAGUACCCACCGAAUAAGGGCUGGCGUAAACUCGUGCCAGCAGCAGCGGUAAUACGAGUGGGCCCAAGGCGUUCUCCGGAAUUACUGGGCCUAAAGCGUCCGUAGGCGGCCUUG
rnacentral:rRNA from 1 species